UACGGAGGGAGCUAGCGUUGUUCGGAAUUACUGGGCGUAAAGCGCGCGUAGGCGGCUUUGUAAGUUAGAGGUGAAAGCCUGGAGCUCAACUUCAGAAUUGCCUUUAAGACUGCAUCGCUUGAAUCCGGGAGAGGUGAGUGGAAUUCCGAGUGUAGAGGUGAAAUUCGUAGAUAUUCGGAAGAACACCGAUGGCGAAGGCAGCCAUCUGGACCGACACUGACGCUGAGGCGCGAAAGCGUGGGGAGCAAACAGG
rnacentral:rRNA from 1 species